rnacentral:rRNA from 1 species
ACUCCUACGGGAGGCAGCAGUGGGGAAUAUUGCACAAUGGGGGAAACCCUGAUGCAGCCAUGCCGCGUGUGUGAAGAAGGCCUUCGGGUUGUAAAGCACUUUCAGUAGGGAGGAAGGUAGUGUAGUUAACACCUGCAUUAUUUGACGUUACCUACAGAAGAAGCACCGGCUAACUCCGUGCCAGCAGCCGCGGUAAUACGUAGGGUACGAGCGUUGUCCGGAAUUAUUGGGCGUAAAGAGCUCGUAGGUGGUUGGUCACGUCUGCUGUGGAAACGCAACGCUUAACGUUGCGCGUGCAGUGGGUACGGGCUGACUAGAGUGCAGUAGGGGAGUCUGGAAUUCCUGGUGUAGCGGUGAAAUGCGCAGAUAUCAGGAGGAACACCGGUGGCGAAGGCGGGACUCUGGGCUGUAACUGACACUGAGGAGCGAAAGCAUGGGGAGCGAACAGGAUUAGAUACCCUGGUAGGAUAGCGU